UACGUAGGGUGCGAGCGUUAAUCGGAAUUACUGGGCGUAAAGCGUGCGCAGGCGGUUUUGUAAGCCAGAUGUGAAAUCCCCGGGCUCAACCUGGGAAUGGCGAUGGAUACUGGCUCGCUAGAGUGCGGUAGAGGAGAGUGGAAUUCCCGGUGUAGCAGUGAAAUGCGUAGAUAUCGCUUGGAACGCCGAAGGUGAAAACAGGUCGCUGGGGAUGAUGCCGACGCUGAGACACGAAAGCCAGGGGAGCAAACGGG
rnacentral:rRNA from 1 species